rnacentral:rRNA from 1 species
AUUGAACGCUGGCGGCAUGCCUUACACAUGCGAGUCGAACGGUAACAGGUUAAGCUGACGAGUGGCGAACGGGUGAGUAAUAUAUCGGAACGUGCCCAGUCGUGGGGGAUAACGUAGCGAAAGCUACGCUAAUACCGCAUACGAUCUACGGAUGAAAGCGGGGGAUCGCAAGACCUCGCGCGAUUGGAGCGGCCGAUAUCGGAUUAGGUUGUUGGUGAGGUAAAAGCUCACCAAGCCUGCGAUCUGUAGCUGGUCUGAGAGGACGACCAGCCACACGGGAACUGAGACACGGUCCAGACUCCUACGGGAGGCAGCAGUGGGGAAUUUUGGACAAUGGACGCAAGUCUGAUCCAGCAAUGCCGCGUGCAGGACGAAGGCCUUCGGGUUGUAAACUGCUUUUGUACGGAACGAAACGGUGAGCUCUAAUACAGUUUGCUAAUGACGGUACCGUAAGAAUAAGCACCGGCUAACUACGUGCCAGCCGCCGCCGUAA